rnacentral:rRNA from 1 species
GACGAACGCUGGCGGCGUGCUUAACACAUGCAAGUCGAACGGAAAGGCCCUGCUUUUGUGGGGUGCUCGAGUGGCGAACGGGUGAGUAACACGUGAGUAACCUGCCCUUGACUUUGGGAUAACUUCAGGAAACUGGGGCUAAUACCGGAUAGGAGCUCCUGCUGCAUGGUGGGGGUUGGAAAGUUUCGGCGGUUGGGGAUGGACUCGCGGCUUAUCGGCUUGUUGGUGGGGUAGUGGCUUACCAAGGCUUUGACGGGUAGCCGGCCUGAGAGGGUGUCCGGCCACAUUGGGACUGAGAUACGGCCCAGACUCCUACGGGAGGCAGCAGUGGGGAAUAUUGCACAAUGGGCGGAAGCCUGAUGCAGCAACGCCGCGUGCGGGAUGACGGCCUUCGGGUUGUAAACCGCUUUCGCCUGUGACGAAGCGUGAGUGACGGUAAUGGGUAAAGAAGCACCGGCUAACUACGUG